GCAAGUCGAGCGCUUCCCUUCGGGGAGGAGCGGCGGACGGGUUAGUAACGCGUGGGAACGUACCCUUUUCUAAGGAAUAGCCACUGGAAACGGUGAGUAAUGCCUUAUACGCCCUUCGGGGGAAAGAUUUAUCGGAGAAGGAUUGGCCCGCGUUAGAUUAGAUAGUUGGUGGGGUAACGGCCUACCAAGUCACCGAUCUAUAGCUGGUUUGAGAGGAUGAUC
rnacentral:rRNA from 1 species